GACGAACGCUGGCGGCGUGCUUAACACAUGCAAGUCGAGCGGUAAGGCCCUUCGGGGUACACGAGCGGCGAACGGGUGAGUAACACGUGGGUGACCUGCCCCCUACUCUGGGAUAAGCCUGGGAAACUGGGGCUAAUACCGGAUAUGACCUGCGAUUGCAUGAUGGUGGGUGGAAAGUUUUUUCGGUGGGGGAUGGGCCCGCGGCCUAUCAGCUUGUUGGUGGGGUGAUGGCCUACCAAGGCGACGACGGGUGGCCGGCCUGAGAGGGCGACCGGCCACACUGGGACUGAGACACGGCCCAGACUCCUACGGGAGGCAGCAGUGGGGAAUAUUGCGCAAUGGGCGGAAGCCUGACACAGCGACGCCGCGUGGGGGAUGACGGCCUUCGGGUUGUAAACCUCUUUCGGCCCCGACGAAGCGUGAGUGACGGUAGGGGUAGAAGAAGCACCGGCCAACUACGUGCCAGCCGCCGCAGUAAAAC
rnacentral:rRNA from 1 species